rnacentral:misc_RNA from 1 species
GUCGUAACAAGGUUUCCGUAGGUGAACCUGCGGAAGGAUCAUUACCACACCUAAAAAACUUUCCACGUGAACUGUCGUUAUUUGUUGUGUGUCUGCGCGUUGCUGGCGUGCGUUUGCUUACGCUUCGGUGUUUGCGAGUGCGUGCUGGUGGUGCGCGGACUGAACGAAGGUCGUGUUGCUGUGUGCCUGCUGCACUGCUGACUUUGCAUUGAUUUGCAUGGUCUUGGCGGAGCGGCGGGUGCUGUGCGUGCGCGGCUGACUUACUUUUUCAAACCCCAUACCUAACUUACUGAUUAUACUGUGAGAACGAAAGUUCUUGCUUUUAACUAGAUAACAACUUUCAGCAGUGGAUGUCUAGGCUC